GGGUGGCACAGUGGGUUAGUGCAUCUGACUGUUAACCAGAAGGUUGUUGGUUUGAGCCCACCCAGAGGUG
rnacentral:tRNA from 1 species